UACGUAGGGCGCAAGCGUUGUCCGGAAUUAUUGGGCGUAAAGAGCUCGUAGGCGGCUUGUCGCGUCGGUUGUGAAAGCCCGGGGCUUAACCCCGGGUCUGCAGUCGAUACGGGCAGGCUAGAGUUCGGUAGGGGAGAUCGGAAUUCCUGGUGUAGCGGUGAAAUGCGCAGAUAUCAGGAGGAACACCGAUGGCGAAGGCAGGUCUCUGGGCCACUACUGACGCUGAGAAGCGAAAGCAUGGGGAGCGAACAGG
rnacentral:rRNA from 1 species